GAUGAAGAACGUAGCGAAAUGCGAUAAGUAAUGUGAAUUGCAGAAUUCAGUGAAUCAUCGAAUCUUUGAACGCACAUUGCGCCCGCCAGUAUUCUGGCGGGCAUGCCUGUUCGAGCGUCAUUACAACCCUCAGGCCCCCGGGCCUGGCGUUGGGGAUCGGCGGAAGCCCCCUGUGGGCACACGCCGUCCCUCAAAUACAGUGGCGGUCCCGCCGCAGCUUCCAUUGCGUAGUAGCUAACACCUCGCAACUGGAGAGCGGCGCGGCCAUGCCGUAAAACACCCAACUUCUGAAUGUUGACCUCGAAUCAGGUAGGAAUACCCGCUGAACUUAAGCAUAUCAAUAAGCGGAUGA
rnacentral:misc_RNA from 1 species